UACGAAGGGUGCAAGCGUUACUCGGAAUUACUGGGCGUAAAGCGUGCGUAGGUGGUCGUUUAAGUCCGUUGUGAAAGCCCUGGGCUCAACCUGGGAACUGCAGUGGAUACUGGGCGACUAGAGUGUGGUAGAGGGUAGCGGAAUUCCUGGUGUAGCAGUGAAAUGCGUAGAGAUCAGGAGGAACAUCCAUGGCGAAGGCAGCUACCUGGACCAACAUUGACACUGAGGCACGAAAGCGUGGGGAGCAAACAGGAUUAGAUACCCUGGUAGUCCACGCCCUAAACGAUGCGAACUGGAUGUUGGGUGCAAUUUGGCACGCAGUAUCGAAGCUAACGCGUUAAGUUCGCCGCCUGGGGAGUACGGUCGCAAGACUGAAACUCA
rnacentral:rRNA from 1 species